AAACAGAUGCUAAUACCGCAUAACCAUUCAGACCACAUGGUCUGAAUGUAAAAGACGGCCUUUGGCUGUCACUUUUGGACGGACCCGCGGCGUAUUAGUUAGUUGGUAAGGUAACGGCUUACCAAGACAAUGAUACGUAGCCGACCUGAGAGGGUAAUCGGCCACAUUGGGACUGAGACACGGCCCAAACUCCUACGGGAGGCAGCAGUAGGGAAUCUUCCACAAUGGACGAAAGUCUGAUGGAGCAACGCCGCGUGAGUGAAGAAGGUUUUAGGAUCGUAAAACUCUGUUGUUGGAGAAGAACAGGGACUAGAGUAACUGUUAGUCCUUUGACGGUAUCCAACCAGAAAGCCACGGCUAACUACGUGCCAGCAGCCGCGGUAAUACGUAGGUGGCAAGCGUUGUCCGGAUUUAUUGGGCGUAAAGCGAGCGCAGGCGGUUUUUUAAGUCUGAUGUGAAAGCCUUCGGCUUAACCGAAGAAGUGCAUUAGAAACUGGGAAACUUGAGUGCAGAAGAGGACAGUGGAACUCCAUGUGUAGCGGUGAAAUGCGUAGAUAUAUGGAAGAACACCAGUGGCGAAGGCGGCUGUCUGGUCUGUAACUGACGCUGAGGCUCGAAAGUAUGGGGAGCGAACAGGAUUAGAUACCCUGGUAGUCCAUACCGUAAACGAUGAAUGCUAAGUGUUGGAGGGUUUCCGCCCUUCAGUGCUGCAGCUAACGCAUUAAGCAUUCCGCCUGGGGAGUACGACCGCAAGGUUGAAACUCAAAGGAAUUGACGGGGGCCCGCACAAGCGGUGGAGCAUGUGGUUUAAUUCGAAGC
rnacentral:rRNA from 1 species